UGCAUAUCCAGUUUAAGUGCUGCUAUGCCCUCCAGCAGAGAGAAGCUCCUGGUUUAAGGCUUUCUCCGGAGUUCCUGACUGGAGUGAAUUGGAUUCUGACAUCCAUGGAGUAGAGCUACUUCUGAGCAACUGACUUUGUUAAUUCUCUGGAAAGCUUCUUGAUACAAGAGCCUGCCGCACAGACGGGGAAUAGGAGACGUUCUUGCCAGGUGUGUGUCAAAAACAAAGUCCUGAUGGAAGCUUAAACAAGAAGCAGUGGGGACUUCUCUGUAGGAUUUAUCGCUACUUAGGGGCAGAACAGGGCCUUUAAAGCAAAUGAAUUUCCAGCCAGCCUUAGAAGCUAUGCAACUGAUGGUGAAGCAGAGAUACAGUGAAGGGGGUUGGAAACAGACGUCACUGGAGUAACCCAAGAGGCAGCAGGUAAGGAAGGCCUUGGCCAGAUGGGUUUUCCAAGCAAUGCUCCAAAUGCCUGAGAUGCAGGAAGCCCACCAAACAAGUUCAGGCAUGAGGGGAUUGUGGGGAGCAGGGGUCAAAGCUGCAGCCCCGCCCCCCAUCUCAUCUGCAGUACGCAACACCAAGCAAGACAAGUAGCUCCCACCUCUGGCCACAGCUGCAGAUGAAUAGACCUAGAUCCCCCUGCCCCAGUGGCCCAACCCUGUUUGCCACAGCCGACAGGGGAAGCUGUGUCAGAUGUGGCUCUAUUCCAGGUACAGAACCAGCGGCCAGCACCAUCAAGCCAUGCCCUCCUCUCCCCAAGUUUGUGCCUGUGGCAGACAUCUUAAGAAUCCCAGAAUCCCAAGGGUCCUACCUGUUGAUAGCAAAUCCACGUUAGCCUCAGCGCCGAGGGUCAAGUCAGGCGGCAGCGCCACCACGAGAUUUCAGGCCAGCUAGUAGGGACUCCCCAGGUGCAGGUCCUUGCCUCUCUGGCACAGAGUAAGUGAAGAAAGUGCCUGACACAGACACACUCACCAUUUC